UCUGGGUUUCGGGGGCGCUGACCUAUUGGUGUUACAGCAUUAUGAGCUCUAACACUCCACUGCAGGCUGGAUCUUACCUCCCUGCUGCCAAGUUCUCUGCCUCAUAUCCCUAGGAUCUGGAGACAGACUGGAGGGUCUGACAUCCUUAAAGACCCCCACUCACUCCCCAGCCCUCCGGCACCUGCUCGUGGCUCUGUCAGGAUUCUCUUCCUUCCACUAGCGACUGUCUGAGACCGAGCAGCUUUGCUGAUCCCUUCAUUCCGCAACUGGUCCCAGCCAGUCACUUAAUCAGAUGCCUUGCUGCGUGCCCAGUUCUGUGGUGACUACAGAAGGAUACAUGGCGUCUGACCCACAGGCAUUGCCAUCAGCUCGGGAAACCACAGCCUCCCACCUCCGUUGGACAGGCCUACCAACAGCUCCCUCACCCCAAGCCGGGCUUUCCUACCUUCCUGACUUGGUUGAGACUCUUCCUCUCUGCCCUUCUAGGCACAGCUCAGGCCCUCCUCACUCCUACCAGUCAUCACAUGGUGCAGACUGCAGCAUGAACUACCAGGACAGAUAAAGCCCCUGAAGGGGUGAAGAUUUGUAUCUUCUGUGCCCUUGCAAAAUUCAGCUUUAUGCAUCACAGUUAACAUAUCAACAGGUCCCUCCAGGCCCCCUCCCCCCACCCUACCCUAUCCAUGAUGUGGUGUUGUGAGAUGCAGUUGGUCACCCCCGUGACCCAUCCUGUGCCCACACUUAGCCAUGUUUGGGACUCCAUGUCUUUAAUGGUGUGUUGGUUGCCAUUACAACUUUGUUGAGUAGCGUUUUUUUAGCUCUUGCAGUUAAGUAUCCCUCUAUUUACGGUUGGUGUUAGUGUGAAUUCAGUUGGUCUCUAAAUAUUAAUUGCAGAAAAGAUACAUGCUUUUGUGAAGUGAAUUA